CUCAUCUGUUUCCCCAACAGAAGGCGGAGACAUUGAUGGUUAGAUAAAUGUACAUAAAUUUCUGACUCUAAGAGAAUGAAUAUCUUAUUUAAUAUUGCGCUGCUAAUCACUGGCCAAUGGCAUGAGGUGGUCAUAUAUAAGUAGUAGCUGCUGUCUGAGCAUGUUGCGGUCAUCGGUCACCUGACUUCUCUAGCUGUUACAUAAGCCUCCCCUCCGUCCAUUAGGUUGUAGCUGCAGAAGCCUCCUAUUGCUGCUUGUCUGAGCUACAAAAAGUGUUGCUGCUUUUUCUUCUUCUUUGAUUUGUUUUGGGUUUCGUAGCUUUACUUGUUUUUGAGACGGGAGUGUCCAAUCCAGUAACAGGCUGGGCACUAAAGCUUCCGACUCCCAGUUCUUUUCUUUUUUUGUUUUGUUUUAUUUUUCUUUUAUUUUUUGUCGUCACUCCACCAAAGUCCACAUAAAAAAAAGGAAAAAAAGGGUUACAUCAGUCAACAGGACGAUGGAGGAAGCAUCUCUACUACGUCUAAACUGAAGCAGCCUACAGGUCACAUGACCAUCCAGCAUGUUUCCAGGUCUGAUGAAGGCCUCUACAAGUGUGACAUCAGCGGUCAUGGAGAGUCUCCAUCCAGCUGGAUCACUGUCACAGGGGAACACACCACCACACCUCCACCUGCAUUUUCUGCUGGUUCGUCCCUUCUCCCUGUGUUGCUGACAGCUCAAUCAGCCUGUGUUGUAGUUAUACUGGAGUUACUGGUUCUUUUGCUGGAAUGAAACGUUCAAAGGAAACUCAAAGAGAGGACAGACAACAUCAUUUAUGGAGAAAUCGUCACCAAAGACAAGCAACACAAAUCAGCUAAAAGAGAGUUUCCAAGAGAGCCAGACGUCAUCUACUCUGAAGUGAAGCAUUUCACCAGUCCAGCCACUGAGAUCCAGCUGCAGGUCUCUCACAGUCCUCAAAGCACCUGAUGAAGAUUUUUAUGUGAAGAACCUGCAAAAACAAAGAAAUAAACAAAUGUGCCUUCAGCAACAUGUAGUUAAGCGAGAAUAUAACUAAUAUAUUAAUCUAAUGCUGUGUAUUUAAUGCUAUUUAUAUAUUUUAUUUCUAAAUGUGGGGCCCUGCUGGUGUCUUCACAGCAGUAAUUUGGUUUCUCUGCAGGAUCAGUAAACUUUAGUCUCCCUUGCUGUUCUUCUCAUGUGGCUUUGUGAGUUUCAUAAAGACGUCUGAGAGGAAACUAUGAAUAGUUACGGCCAACAGAUACACACCUCUGUUUGGAGCAGAUAACAAAGAAAGAAACAAUCAAAACUUGACUUCAACUGCAGACUAAAGCAGGAAUCAUUCAAAGCUGGAAAAUAAAGACUGAGAACAAAGUGUGUGAGUUUGAAUAACUUUGAUUUGAAGAAAUUAAAUAUUAAAUAUGUGAGACUUUAUUUUCAGGUCAUUUGCGGCUUGUCUAGAGUCCUCGCUUGUUGUUGUUUUUACUGUAACAUACUAAACAUGCGCUUUUUCAGUCCAAAGGUUUUCAAAUUGGGGUUUCCAAACAGGCAGAACAACCCUAACCUUGUAUGAGUUGCCAAAGACCUGAUAGCUGUGAGGGGGUAAAACUGAUCAAGUGGGGACAAAAAGAGAAAUGCUUCUUCACAUCUGUCUUUAGUUCUUUUAAGCUAUGUAUUGGUGCUGUUUAUUCAGUUUAUCCUACUGUAAUAAAUGCUCACUUGCAGGAGUCAUGUGUUUGUAGAAAAAUGAGCUGUAAUGUGUUCUGGGAGGAGUGAAAUGCAGUUCAUGAAUGUGAUAUUUGCCUGUAAGCUUUAUACAACUGUGUCCUUCUGUUUAAGUGUGAAAUAAAAUGAAUAUGAUGAUAAAGUGA
ensembl:lncRNA